AUCCAGAUGACGAGUCCAAAAUAGGACGAAACACACGUCCUGAAU
rnacentral:hammerhead_ribozyme from 1 species